rnacentral:rRNA from 1 species
UGGAGGGCAAGUCUGGUGCCAGCAGCCGCGGUAAUUCCAGCUCCAAUAGCGUAUAUUAAAGUUGUUGCAGUUAAAAAGCUCGUAGUUGAAUUUCGGGGUUCUACCGUUGGUCGGGCUUUGUCUGUACUGGUGUGUAGAAUUUCUACCUUCUGGGGAACCAUCAUGCUAUUAAUUUAGCGUGGUGGGAAACCAGGACCUUUACCUUGAAAAAAUUAGUGUGUUCAAAGCAGGCUUAUGUCUGAAUACAUUAGCGUGGAAUAAUAGAAUAGGACGGUGGUCCUGUUUUGUUGGUUUCUGUAUCACCGUAAUGAUUAAUAGGGAUAGUUGGGGGCAUUAGUAUUCAAUUGUCAGAGGUGAAAUUCUUGGAUUUAUUGAAGACUAACUUCUGCGAAAGCAUUUGCCAAGGAUGUUUUCAUUAAUCAAGAACGAAAGUUAGGGGAUCGAAGACGAUCAGAUACCGUCGUAGUCUUAACCAUAAACUAUGCCGACUAGGGAUCGGACGAUGUUAAUUUUUCUUGACUCGUUCGGCGCCUUACGGGAAA